rnacentral:rRNA from 1 species
GACGAACGCUGGCGGCGUGCUUAACACAUGCAAGUCGAACGGAAAGGCCCUGCUUGCAGGGUACUCGAGUGGCGAACGGGUGAGUAACACGUGGGUGAUCUGCCCUGCACUUCGGGAUAAGCCUGGGAAACUGGGUCUAAUACCGGAUAGGAGCCAUUUUUAGUGUGAUGGUUGGAAAGUUUUUUCGGUGUAGGAUGAGCUCGCGGCCUAUCAGCUUGUUGGUGGGGUAAUGGCCUACCAAGGCGGCGACGGGUAGCCGGCCUGAGAGGGUGGACGGCCACAUUGGGACUAGGAGACGCACCAGACUCCUACGGGAGGCAGCAGUGGGGAGUAUUGCACAAUGGGGGGAAGCCUGAUGCAGCGACGCCGCGUGGGGGAUGACGGCCUUCGGGUUGUAAACUGCUUUCGCUAGGGACGAAGCUUUUUGUGACGGUACCUUGAUAAGAAGCACAGGCUAACUACGUG